CCUGUCUUAAAGAUGCUGACUCGUCCUGAGCAGCAAUUAUGUGAAUGGUGGCAGCAAUCCAGGAUUGUUUCUGAGAGCAUAGGCCCAGGCAGAAUGUUCUGCCAGAGAAGAUAACAAAGAAGAGCAGAGAAACAAGACUGCAGAAGGAGGUUAUUUUACAUAAUUGCUUCCACCGCAGAUGGAGCCAGCAAGCCAGAGGAUUAGAGGCUGAGACAAAGCCAUGAAUCUCUGAGAAGAACACAUGGGAUUAAAAUUGCUAAAACUGCUGGCAAUUUGACAGAAUACUUUUCACACAUUGCCAAUGUAUUAUGGUAUUUUGCCUUCACGACAGAAAAGUGCUAAAGUCGUCUUUUGUUUUCUUUUGAGAUUGCUAUAGUUUUGCUCUACAAGUGUGAUCAGCUCCAGUGCUUCAAUCAAGCUGUUCUCCCACGAAGACCACAAUACUAAUCAGAAGUGGGGUGUCAGUAUCCUUUUUCCUAACCAUCAUGUAGCAAAUCCCAACCCCUCGCCCCUCGUAAAACCACCACCUAUCUUACACCAUCUUUGACAUCUUCAGCUCUUUGUUCAAGGUCACAGGAAGGCAACUGCCUCAGUUACCCACUACUUUAGCAACAUCCAGGAAGUGAGGCUGGAAUAUCUCAGUCUUUACUGCUUAUUACUUGGUUGAUGGGCAGCAUUGAUUGACCAGAUUGUUGGAAGACCUUCGCUGCUUUGACAUCCAACAACUGAUUCCUUUCUGCUGGAAAAAAAAAGUUCAAAUUAUGGAAUAUUGAACACACCAGAAGCCAUCUGCAGCCCUGAGAUAGAUGAAGCAUUUGCAUCCAGUUAUUAUGAGCCCACAAUUACAUGGUUUAUAUGAACUAGCUCUGGAAUUUAUAGAAAUUUCUCAUGUGAAUAAAAUCUUCGCACAUGUGCACAUUCAUUAAAUGUUCCACAAUUUAAAUUUGUUUCACUGGAGAGCACAGCAAAAUAUUGGUGACCCAACUCACUUUGUAGCUUUGCCCUCAUUAUUUUGUUUUCUUUUCCAAUCAUCAAAGCACCCCUGAAAUAUUUCCAUCUAUUAACCACUACCCGUGUUUUCCAGUUGAUUAAUUUACACACAAAGCAUGU